rnacentral:rRNA from 1 species
UACGGAGGGGGCUAGCGUUGUUCGGAAUUACUGGGCGUAAAGGGCGCGUAGGCGGCACUGUUAGUCAGGCGUGAAAGUCCUGGGCUCAACCUGGGAACUGCGCUUGAUACGGCAGAGCUAGAGGAUGGAAGAGGGUCGCGGAAUUCCCAGUGUAGAGGUGAAAUUCGUAGAUAUUGGGAAGAACACCAGUGGCGAAGGCGGCUCACUGGCCCGGUACUGACGCUGAGGUGCGAAAGCGUGGGGAGCGAACAGG